UACAGAGGUGGCAAGCGUUGUUCGGAAUUACUGGGCGUAAAGGGCUCGUAGGCGGCCUUCUAAGUCAGACGUGAAAUCCCCCGGCUUAACCUGGGAACUGCGUCUGAUACUGGGAGGCUUGAGUAUGGGAGAGGGAUGUAGAAUUCCAGGUGUAGCGGUGAAAUGCGUAGAUAUCUGGAGGAAUACCGGUGGCGAAGGCGGCAUCCUGGGCCAUUACUGACGCUGAGGAGCGAAAGCUAGGGGAGCAAACGGG
rnacentral:rRNA from 1 species